AAAUGACUCAAUGGGGCUGCAAUAUUACUGAAUCCUCUGAUAAAUUGUCUAUAAUAAUUACAGAGUCCCAGGAAUUGUUGUAUUUCUUUGGUGUUGCUAGGUGUUUUCCAAUUUUGAACUCUUUCUAUUAUCUGUGGGUUAGGUUUCACUCCAUGCUUACCAACAAUAUGCCCUAAAUACAAAAUUUCUUCCUUAAUCAAAUCACAUUUGGAUGGUUUUAACUUUAGUCCUGCUUUCUUCAAUCUAGUCAGAACUUCCCCUAGGUGUUGAAAAUGUUCAUCUAUAUCAGAACUAAAG
rnacentral:lncRNA from 1 species